CCUACGGGCGGCUGCAGUGGGGAAUAUUGGACAAUGGGGGCAACCCUGAUCCAGCCAUGCCGCGUGUGUGAAGAAGGCCCUCGGGUUGUAAAGCACUUUCAGUGAGGAAGAACGCCUGGUGGUUAAUACCCAUCAGGAAAGACAUCACUCACAGAAGAAGCACCGGCUAACUCCGUGCCAGCAGCCGCGGUAAUACGGAGGGUGCGAGCGUUAAUCGGAAUUACUGGGCGUAAAGCGCGCGUAGGUGGCUUGAUAAGCCGGUUGUGAAAGCCCCGGGCUCAACCUGGGAACGGCAUCCGGAACUGUCAAGCUAGAGUGCAGGAGAGGAAGGUAGAAUUCCCGGUGUAGCGGUGAAAUGCGUAGAGAUCGGGAGGAAUACCAGUGGCGAAGGCGGCCUUCUGGACUGAGACUGACACUGAGGUGCGAAAGCGUGGGUAGCAAACAGGAUUAGAUACCCCAGUAGUC
rnacentral:rRNA from 1 species